rnacentral:tRNA from 1 species
AUUUAUAUAAUAUAAAAAAGUAUAUUUGAUUUCCAAUCAAAAUGUCUAAAAGUUAGUAUAAAUA